CCUCCGUCGCGUGGCCACGCCGCCGCCGAAGGUGCUCCUCCGUAACCACUGUCCCGUUCGAAGGUUCUCCACCACUGCUCCUUGUCUUGGUCACUCGGUGUCUCUGUCUUCAUCUUGCAUGCUCUGUUGAAGGCUUCUUAUAGGUGAUGAAGCCGAUGAUGCAGACUGGAACAUUGUUCGCUCUGUGAGAGUUAAAACAUUACAUAUCAGUUCUCCUAUCUUAGCUGCUAAAAGUCCCUAUUUCUACGAGGUAUUAAGAGGAGCUUAUGACCUUGCCAUUAGCUGGUAUAGAAGCAGUAAUUUCUAGUGAUGAUCUUCAAGUUGCCAUUUUAUGUUUGAUUGGUUGUUUUGUUAUUUGACUUUUGAAUUUAUAUUUGAAUGAGAU